UUCGGAGGAUCCAAGCGUUAUCCGGAUUUAUUGGGUUUAAAGGGUGCGUAGGUGGGAUGAUAAGUCAGAGGUGAAAGCUAGCAGCUUAACUGUUAAAUUGCCUUUGAUACUGUUAUUCUUGAGUAUAGUUGGCGUUGGCGGAAUGUGACAUGUAGCGGUGAAAUGCGUAGAUAUGUCACAGAACACCGAUCGCGAAGGCAGCUAACGAAGCUAUCACUGACACUGAUGCACGAAAGCGUGGGGAGCAAACAGG
rnacentral:rRNA from 1 species